GGCUUAGAGUUUGAUCCUGGCUCAGAUUGAACGCUGGCGGCAUGCCUUACACAUGCAAGUCGAACGGCAGCACGGGAGCAAUCCUGGUGGCGAGUGGCGAACGGGUGAGUAAUAUAUCGGAACGUGCCCGGUCGUGGGGGAUAACGUAGAGAAAUUUACGCUAAUACCGCAUACGAUCUAAGGAUGAAAGCGGGGGAUCGCAAGACCUCGCGCGAUUGGAGCGGCUGAUAUCAGAUUAGGUUGUUGGUGAGGUAAAAGCUCACCAAGCCGACGAUCUGUAGCUGGUUUGAGAGAACGACCAGCCACACUGGGACUGAGACACGGCCCAGACUCCUACGGGAGGCAGCAGUGGGGAAUUUUGGACAAUGGGCGAAAGCCUGAUCCAGCAAUGCCGCGUGCAGGAAGAAGGCCUUCGGGUUGUAAACUGCUUUUGUACGGAACGAAACGGCCUGCCCUAAUAGGGCGGGCUAAUGG
rnacentral:rRNA from 1 species